GACGAACGCUGGCGGCGUGCUUAACACAUGCAAGUCGAACGAUGAAGCUGGAGCUUGCUCCGGUGGAUUAGUGGCGAACGGGUGAGCAACACGUGAGAAAUCUGCCCUUGACUCUGGGAUAACUGCGGGAAACUGUAGCUAAUACCGGAUACUUUCCUCGGUGGGCAUCCACUGGGGAAGAAAGAAUUUCGGUCAAGGAUGAUCUCGCGGCCUAUCAGCUAGUUGGUGAGGUAAUGGCUCACCAAGGCGACGACGGGUAGCCGGCCUGAGAGGGUGACCGGCCACACUGGGACUGGGACACGGCCCAGACUCCUACGGGAGGCAGCAGUGGGGAAUAUUGCACAAUGGGCGCAAGCCUGAUGCAGCAACGCCGCGUGAGGGAUGAAGGCCUUCGGGUUGUAAACCUCUUUUAGCAGGGAAGAAGCGAAAGUGACGGUACCUGCAGAAGAAGGACCGGCCAACUACGUGCCAGCCGCCGCGGUAA
rnacentral:rRNA from 1 species